rnacentral:misc_RNA from 1 species
AAAGAUUUCAAUUGAGAAAAUCUCCAUCAUACUAUCUUGAUUGUCUUUUUGUUACAUGUGGUAAAAGAGUUGAUGAUAUCACUAUUGCUUAUCAUUAACAUUACCAUAAGUGAAAUAUUUCUCAUUUCUAUUGUUCUUAUUUCAAGUCUUAGGUCUUUAAUCUAAGUCCUCAGUGGAAACCUAAACUCUCUCUUUUCAUUUCGGAUAGAGAAUUUUCUCUCAAAUACUUUUUUUUUUUUUAAUUUUCUUUGUUUUCUCGUAUCUGGCCGAGCGUCCUUCAUUGCUUUCUUUGUCCUCUGGGCAAGGGAAGGGAAGGUGUUUAGUGUUUAGAUGGUGGUCUCCGGCUAAGAGCGAGAUUGCUCUCCUUACCUGGUUGGGUGUACAAAUGUUUUACAUGCUGAUUUUGCAAGUUGGAAAAUCAAGGAGAAAGCUUCAAUUUACACUUGUGUUUGAUUAAAGCUUUGGCAUGGAGUGGGCUAGAUCAAGGAGAGAGUGUUGUUACUACGUUCGCUGGUGAGAAUGCUUUAAGGCCGACCUAAGGCUAAUUGUGAGACUGAAAUACGUUGGACCUAGGUGUUAAGAGCACGCUUUCUCUGCUAGUUAUUGUUUAUGCAUUCUAAACUUGCUUGGAUGGGUGGUUCGGUAGAGAGUUGAGUCUUGCUUCAAAUGGGUAGGUAACAAGGAGACUUGGUCUUCAAAGCCUCUUUUUACGUCAACCUCUACAUCAACUCCUUGCGGUGGUCGGUGAUGCUACAUGGGUGGUUUGGGAGGAUUCCUCUGACGGUGUGCAUCAAGGGUGGCAACGAUUUUAUUAAGGUGUUACUCCUGUGGAUGGUUUUAUUGUAUGCGAUUUUGAAAGGUGGAAGGCAAGUUUCUAGGCUGGCUUCCUAGUUUCUGGUUCUAAUUUUGGGUCUAUAAGGGAUUGAGAUGAGUCUCAGUUGUAUUGCAAUACCUUCGUGUAACUCUUGCCCAAUGGACCUUGGUAAUGCAAAUAGCAUUUAAUGUUGAUUUGGUCAUAUCCAAUUACUUUUUUUAUACAUUGAGAAGUUAUUCAAUUAUAUAUUUAAUCAUUCUACCCUGUACAUAUAAAAAUAUUUUAAAUUGUGUGUAAAUUCUAUUUUGUAGUUUUA